AAGAGAGGCUUGCAGCACCAGAGCCUGCUAAGCUCCUGGCUCCCCGGUUGAAUUCCGGGGCUCACUUA
rnacentral:tRNA from 1 species